AGAGUUUGAUCAUGGCUCAGAGCGAACGCUGGCGGCAGGCUUAACACAUGCAAGUCGAGCGGGCGUAGCAAUACGUCAGCGGCAGACGGGUGAGUAACGCGUGGGAACGUACCUUUUGGUUCGGAACAACACAGGGAAACUUGUGCUAAUACCGGAUAAGCCCUUACGGGGAAAGAUUUAUCGCCGAAAGAUCGGCCCGCGUCUGAUUAGCUAGUUGGUGAGGUAACGGCUCACCAAGGCGACGAUCAGUAGCUGGUCUGAGAGGAUGAUCAGCCACAUUGGGACUAAGACACGGCCCAAACUCCUACGGGAGGCAGCAGUGGGGAAUAUUGGACAAUGGGCGCAAGCCUGAUCCAGCCAUGCCGCGUGAGUGAUGAAGGCCCUAGGGUUGUAAAGCUCUUUUGUGCGGGAAGAUAAUGACGGUACCGCAAGAAUAAGCCCCGGCUAACUUCGUGCCAGCAGCCGCGGUAAUACGAAGGGGGCUAGCGUUGCUCGGAAUCACUGGGCGUAAAGGGUGCGUAGGCGGGUUCUUAAGUCAGAGGUGAAAUCCUGGAGCUCAACUCCAGAACUGCCUUUGAUACUGAGAGUCUUGAGUUCGGGAGAGGUGAGUGGAACUGCGAGUGUAGAGGUGAAAUUCGUAGAUAUUCGCAAGAACACCAGUGGCGAAGGCGGCUCACUGGCCCGAUACUGACGCUGAGGCACGAAAGCGUGGGGAGCAAACAGGAUUAGAUACCCCAGUAGUCC
rnacentral:rRNA from 1 species